CCUACGGGUGGCAGCAGUGAGGAAUAUUGGUCAAUGGCCGGAAGUCUGAACCAGCCAAGCCGCGUGAAGGACGAAGGUGCCAAGCAUUGUAAACUUCUUUUGUCAAGGGAUAAACCCCGGCUCGUGUGCCUGACCGAGGGUACCUUACGAAUAAGCAUCGGCUAACUCCGUGCCAGCAGCCGCGGUAAUACGGAGGAUCCGAGCGUUAUCCGGAUUUAUUGGGUUUAAAGGGAGCGUGGGUGGUUGGUUAAGUCAGUUGUGAAAGUUUGCGGCUCAACCGUAAAACUGCAGUUGAAACUGGCGAUCAUGAGUACAGUAGGGGUGGGGGGAAGUAGGGGUGUAGCGGGGAAAUGCU
rnacentral:rRNA from 1 species